rnacentral:rRNA from 1 species
AUGAACGCUGGCGGCGUGCCUAAUACAUGCAAGUCGAGCGAACAGACGAGGAGCUUGCUCCUCUGACGUUAGCGGCGGACGGGUGAGUAACACGUAGAUAACCUACCUAUAAGACUGGGAUAACUUCGGGAAACCGGAGCUAAUACCGGAUAAUAUAUUGAACCGCAUGGUUCAAUAGUGAAGGACGGUUUUGCUGUCACUUAUAGAUGGAUCCGCGCCGCAUUAGCUAGUUGGUAAGGUAACGGCUUACCAAGGCAACGAUGCGUAGCCGACCUGAGAGGGUGAUCGGCCACACUGGAACUGAGACACGGUCCAGACUCCUACGGGAGGCAGCAGUAGGGAAUCUUCCGCAAUGGGCGAAAGCCUGACGGAGCAACGCCGCGUGAGUGAUGAAGGUCUUCGGAUCGUAAAACUCUGUUAUUAGGGAAGAACAAAUGUGUAAGUAACUAUGCACGUCUUGACGGUACCUAAUCAGAAAGCCACGGCUAACUACGUG